rnacentral:rRNA from 1 species
GAGUUUGAUCAUGGCUCAGAACGAACGCUGGCGGCACGCCUAACACAUGCAAGUCGAGCGCAGUCCUUCGGGACCGAGCGGCGGACGGGUUAGUAACGCGUGGGAACAUACCCUUCUCUACGGAAUAGCCUCGGGAAACUGAGAGUAAUACCGUAUAAGCCCUUCGGGGGAAAGAUUUAUCGGUGAAGGAUUGGCCCGCGUAAGAUUAGAUAGUUGGUGGGGUAAUGGCCUACCAAGUCUACGAUCUUUAGCUGGUUUGAGAGGAUGAUCAGCAACACUGGGACUGAGACACGGCCCAGACUCCUACGGGAGGCAGCAGUGGGGAAUCUUAGACAAUGGGGGAAACCCUGAUCUAGCGAUGCCGCGUGUGUGACGAAGGCCUUAGGGUCGUAAAGCACUUUCGCCAAGGAUGAUAAUGACAGUACUUGGUAAAGAAACCCCGGCUAACUCCGUGCCAGCAGCCGCGGUAAUACGGAGGGUGCGAGCGUUAAUCGGAAUUACUGGGCGUAAAGCGCGCGUAGGUGGUUUGAUAAGCUAGAUGUGAAAGCCCUGGGCUCAACCUGGGAACUGCAUUUAGAACUGUCUGGCUAGAGUAUAAUAGAGGGAGGCAGAAUUUCCUGUGUAGCGGUGAAAUGCGUAGAUAUAGUGAAGAAUAUCAGUGGCGAAGGCGGCCUCCUGGAUUAAUACUGACACUGAGGUGCGAAAGCGUGGGUAGCGAACAGGAUUAGAUACCCUGGUAGUCCACGCCGUAAACGAUGACAACUAGCUGUUAGAAGACUAUGUCUUUUAGUGGCGCAGCUAACGUUUUAAGUUGUCCGCCUGGGGAGUACGGCCGCAAGGCUAAAACUCAAAUGAAUUGACGGGGACCCGCACAAACAGUGGAUCAUGUGGUUUAAUUCGAUGCAACGCGAAAAACCUUACCUACUCUUGACAUACUUGGAAGCUCUUGUAAUGAGAGUGUGCUUUUAAGAACCAAGAUACAGGUGCUGCAUGGCUGUCGUCAGCUCGUGUCGUGAGAUGUUCCGUUAAGUCGGAUAACGAGCGCAACCCUUACCCUUAUUUGCCAGCGAUUCGGUCGGGAACUAUAAGGGGACUGCCGGUGAUAAACCGGAGGAAGGUGAGGACGACGUCAAGUCAUCAUGGCCCUUACGAGUAGGGCUACACACGUGAUACAAUGGGAGAGACAGACGGACGCUAAGCCGCGAGGUGGUGCUAAUCCUAGAAACUCUCUCGUAGUCCGGAUUGGAGUCUGCAACUCGACUCCAUGAAGUUGGAAUUGCUAGUAAUCGCGGAUCAGCAUGCCGCGGUGAAUACGUUCUCGGGUCUUGUACACACCGCCCGUCACACCAUGGAAGUGGAUUGCACCAGAAGUAGAUAGUCUAACCUUAGGGAGGGCGUUUACCACGGUGUGCUUCAUGACUGGGGUGAAGUCGUAACAAGGUAACC